UCCUUUAGGUCCCUGUUCAGGCUCCAGCUGUUGUGUCUCAAGAGGAUGCAGGACCUGGGACA
rnacentral:miRNA from 1 species